rnacentral:lncRNA from 1 species
UAACUCUUUUUCCCUUUUCCCAUAUCUCUCACACUCUUUCACACCAUUCCAUACAUAUUUUUCUACCAUCUCCCACAUCUCAAAAGAGAUGCCAACAGUCCCUUUAAAUAGAGAUCACAUGGAUGGAAGUUUGACUAGCUCCUACCUUAACUCAAAACUAAAAUCUACUAAAAUACAAAUUCUAAAGUAGAUAAAGCAACACCAA